rnacentral:snRNA from 1 species
AUUUCCACUUUAUGAUAUCAAAUAGAAUUGGAACGAUACAGAGAGAAGAUUAGCAUGGCCCCCGCGCAAGGAUGACAGGCACGCCCAUUAUUACUUAUUAUUACUU